GUAGGUGAACCUGCGGAAGGAUCAUUAUCAAGCGCGGCUCUGCCGCGGUUGGAAUAGAACCCUUGCCACCUUUUGAGCACCCCCGUUUCCUCGGCAGGUCCGCCUGCCACCGGGACACCACAAACCCUCUGUAAUUGUCGUACACGUCUGAAGAAACAAGCAAAUCUAUUAAAACUUUCAACAACGGAUCUCUUGGCUCUG
rnacentral:misc_RNA from 1 species